UGUCAGAAUUGCAGUUGAUUUACUUGAUGAGAUUAUGCCCUUCCAUAGCCUUCUCCACAGCAAUCUUGUGUGUAAUUCAUAUUGUUCUCCAUCGAAUAUUUCAUAAUAGCGAUAGAUUUCAUGCAAACAAUCCGAUAAAAUGCUGGUUCCAAGAAGAAUGGACUUAGUUUAGAUUUUGAACUGUUAAAUACAUGUAUGCAUCAUCAUAGUAUGAAUAUUUCUUCUCAGAUUUAUUCUGUAUCGUAUGAAAAAGCAACACGUACAAUUUUGAGAAUGCAGAAAUGGUGU